AAAUUGAAGAGUUUGAUCAUGGCUCAGAUUGAACGCUGGCGGCAGGCCUAACACAUGCAAGUCGAGCGGAAACGAGUUAUCUGAACCUUCGGGGAACGAUAACGGCGUCGAGCGGCGGACGGGUGAGUAAUGCCUAGGAAAUUGCCCUGAUGUGGGGGAUAACCAUUGGAAACGAUGGCUAAUACCGCAUGAUGCCUACGGGCCAAAGAGGGGGACCUUCGGGCCUCUCGCGUCAGGAUAUGCCUAGGUGGGAUUAGCUAGUUGGUGAGGUAAGGGCUCACCAAGGCGACGAUCCCUAGCUGGUCUGAGAGGAUGAUCAGCCACACUGGAACUGAGACACGGUCCAGACUCCUACGGGAGGCAGCAGUGGGGAAUAUUGCACAAUGGGCGCAAGCCUGAUGCAGCCAUGCCGCGUGUGUGAAGAAGGCCUUCGGGUUGUAAAGCACUUUCAGUCGUGAGGAAGGCGGCGUCGUUAAUAGCGGCGUUGUUUGACGUUAGCGACAGAAGAAGCACCGGCUAACUCCGUGCCAGCAGCCGCGGUAAUACGGAGGGUGCGAGCGUUAAUCGGAAUUACUGGGCGUAAAGCGCAUGCAGGUGGUUUGUUAAGUCAGAUGUGAAAGCCCGGGGCUCAACCUCGGAAUUGCAUUUGAAACUGGCAGACUAGAGUACUGUAGAGGGGGGUAGAAUUUCAGGUGUAGCGGUGAAAUGCGUAGAGAUCUGAAGGAAUACCGGUGGCGAAGGCGGCCCCCUGGACAGAUACUGACACUCAG
rnacentral:rRNA from 1 species